UACAACCCGGGCGCUCGAUUUACCUACGCGCCGUGAUUCGCGGUUUCCCUCGAUCGUUUGCGUCGACCCCCACGGUUUGGAGAACGCGCGACUUCGGUUUCACGAGGUUCCUUUGCCGGGUCGGGAGUGCGGGCUUGCCUCGGUAUUGCGUUCGAUCGCGACCAAUCUUCGAUAUAUCGGUUAAUUGUAUAUUCGUAUUCAAUGCAUUAUUUCGAAAGUAUAAAUGAAUCGUGUGAGCGGAUCUGUUGGCCAAGAUGUUGUGUAUGUUAGUAAUUGUGUAACGUGUGGAUCAGAGCUUGAUCUUUUUUUGGCAAUCCCCUCGCCGACUAGCUGCUGCUGGUGGUCCGCAAUGGCGAAAGGGGAUGGAAGAAAACUCGGGGGACGGAAGGGUGGCUGAAUCGGACGGGGGUGGUUUUUCUGACGUCAACGAGAGCUCUGCCUCGUCUCGCCCCCUUCGUUUUCGGUACGAAUGAAAGACGAAUAACAUGGCCGAUAUAGUCCGUUGCGAUACCGUCUCUGGCUCAUUGAGUUACGAUCUUUAUUCAUCUGCGGAUUUCAAGCAAUUAUAGGAAAUUUAGCUCGCUCGUUGCAUCGUGCACUCGGAAAGAUAGCAAGCAUCUACAUACACAGUCGCAUUCGAUCGCGCAAACAAGCCCGAAAUCGAAUUCAGCGUCUUUCCGCGAGCAAGCAAAGUACCGAGCCAAGUUUCCAUAUUGAGUUUCCGAUUAGAGAAAUCUAACCCUUCCCCGCACCGUUCUAAGAUUUGCUCGGAGUAACGUCGUUAUCGUUUCAUUUCCCGAUGGUUAUAUGUGUACGUCUCUUCUAGUAGCGCGAACAAUCGCUCAACGAUUUCACAGUUUUUACAGUUUCAUCCAGAGAAAUACGGGGCGAUGGGUGAAGCGGGGGACGUUCCAUUGAAAACCCUUAAUCGCAGUAAUUCGUUUACGGCGAGUGACGGCGUAUUUUUUGCCACCAGAUAAGGGUAAUUAAAGUUAGAAACACCGCUGCAUAUCGAGAGGGAGCGGUGAGACGGUUGGGUAGGAUCGCGGGGGUAGGAGGUAGGUGGCGAGAGAACGAAUCUCGGUCUCCUCGGAAGAGGGACGCUUUUUGUCACUUGAAAUAUGUUGAACGAGGGGGAUGCGUUCGGUCGUCGCGUCGCGGGGGACGAGGCGAAAUGAUAAAAUGGCGUCACCGAGACAAAGGGGUCUUAAGAUUUUUACCCUCUAACAAGUUCUAUCUCCUCGACCGAACCCCCCCUCUUCUUUUGUGUCUCGCUUCUUUUAUGCUACGCGGCGCCGAGUCAACUUCUGCUCGAUCGACGAUCUCACACCCCAGAACCGGUUAUCGUUGUUGUCCUCGCUGCUGUUAUUCUUAACGAUUCAUCCAAUUAAUUAUUUAUAAUUAAAUGUUUGUUACGUGGUCACAGAUUUUCUUUAAAAAAUCCUUUUUGUCACCAGUAGUCGAACAUUCUGUAGACAUAGUUAGUACAAUUGUACGUUAUAGUGUAUUUCAUGAAACAUGAAAGGUCGCAUACAAUUUUUUUCUAUCCCGAAUACUUCAGGAGUAAUCGAUUAAUUAUUUCGUCCAUCGUCAAGUACUUCUUAACGAGUGGAAUUAGAAAAAGAUUGCAUAGGAUCUUUAUUGUAUCUGACAACUACAGCUACAUAUUAAUAACAAUAGAGUCUGUUUAACCCACGAUCUUGUAAUGUAUAAGAUCAUGGUUUUACCUGUUAAAUUAGAACUCGAGUACAUGGUGAAUCUCUUGGUCAUGAGAUUACAGAAGCCGGCACUGUGAGUAAGCCUACUGUUCUUUCUUAUACUGUGGCUUAAUCAUUGAUUCUAUAAUUGCUGUAUUCAGUGUAUAAUAAAUAUCAUCAAUUAAUAUGCAGACAUGGUUUAAAGAACGGAGUUAAAUCAAACUUUAGUGGCACGAUCGCGUUAUCCUCUCUGAAAUAAUCUUCAAUGACGAUCGUCCCGACCCUUCGCAUUUUUACUUCUCAUCUUAACCCCGUAUUUAUAGACGACGCCGUGCUGUGUCACAUUUUCGCUCGAGGGUUUUUGCCUGGGCUUUCCCGAGGCUCCUCAAGUGUACGCGUCUCCCCUCGCCGUUCCAUCCGGAGAAAAUCUUUCGCGGCACGAUGAAGGAACAAAAGAACGCUAGCCCCGGAUGAUUUGCCGGAUCGCGGAGACGUGGGAGGGCCCCCGGAACCCAGGGGGACAGGGCGGGUGGCGAGGGGCCGAGGGACGCUGAAAGAAGCCGGGGAUGCCAGCCUACCCGCGCCGCGCCCGGUUCUUCGAAGGGGUUGUAUUUUAAGAUUCACCCUCGGCUAUCUCUACCGCUUUAUCGGCGAGGGGAUACAUUUUUCCUUCGAUUCGCCAAGCCAGCCGGCGGAAGAAUCGAGCCAUCUACCACGCUAUCAUAGUUAAAUAAGCUAAUAGAUACUCCGAAAAAAAUGUUGCAAGUAUUAAUUUUGAUUUGUUAAACAAGAAUUCAUUCAUUUAAUACAUUCCAUCAGAUAUAAAACUCACAUGAAGUAUGAAUAAAAAGAGCGAUUCCUAUGUAAUUAGUUGUCAUGACUAUUCUUAUUGUUUUAUCCGAUAUUAGGAUAUAAAACUGAAAUUGGUCAACAAAUAAUAAUUAACAUGUCGCAGUAUUAUUAUAUAUAGACUGUA